GAUUAUAUAUAAACAUACAUGCUUGUUUUACAAGUGGGAAUUUUUGGAACAUGUUCAAUUUACAGGGUAGACUCUGUCGAAUUUUCGGUAGAAGUCGCACUUGAAUUUCAUAGAAUUUUAGUUAGAAGGGGAAUUUGAUCAAUUAUGUCUGGCAACCACCAGGUGUCGAACACGCAUAGGGUUCGGCUUGGAUUCCAAAGUGGAAUUUGGGUCGGGUCCUGUCAAGUCAAUCCUCUGAUCGGCUUAUAGAACAAAAAUAAGAUUGGGCUUGAUUUGCCGCAUAACGACACCCUUGUCAUCAACAUCUAGACUGUGCAGGCCGUGAUUGAUUGACUUCACAUGGAUGAGGGUAGCACAGCCACCAUCUUGCAGCUUUCAAUUGUCCGGCAAAUUGGCAUGGAGACUAAGAUCAAGAAGUUAGCCAGGCCAUUGACCAGCC
rnacentral:lncRNA from 1 species